rnacentral:rRNA from 1 species
UACGUAGGGGGCAAGCGUUGUCCGGAAUCAUUGGGCGUAAAGAGCGCGUAGGCGGCCCUGUAAGUCCGCUGUGAAAGUCAAGGGCUCAACCCUUGAAUGCCGGUGGAUACUGCAGGGCUAGAGUCCGGAAGAGGCGAGUGGAAUUCCUGGUGUAGCGGUGAAAUGCGCAGAUAUCAGGAGGAACACCGAUGGCGAAGGCGGCUGCCUGGGGCUUUGCUGACGCUGAUGCGCGAAAGCGUGGGGAGCGAUCCGG